rnacentral:lncRNA from 10 species
CCCAGAGAGACGUGGGAGGAGCCGCGAAGUCACCAGACCAUCUCCCGGCGCGGGUGGAAUUCCCGCGAUCUGUCUCAUUCCCUGCGCCGCCGAGAAAAGUGAGAUCCCGCGAGACUCCCAGGGUAUGGUCUCUCAAGAGCCCUGGAAACGUGUGUCGGCGCCGCCGGAUGCGGCGACUUCUCAGUGGCUGUGGCUGGCGUUGGUCCGAAGCGUGGUGUUCUUCCCUGGUGUCUUUCUGCUUAUCUCUUUCCUCCCUGGGCCCUCCGGCGCGAGGGACCGUCAUCACCUCCCCGAGAGAGGUUGUCCGCGCUGCCAGGCGCUGGGCAGCAGGCUCUCCGGGUGGCCGGGCGGGCGGCGCGGAGACGUCGGCGGGCCUGAUGUCUGCCUUGAGCGCCCGCGGUCCUAGCCUGCCUGUACGCGCAGGUCACUGUAGGUGAUCUGGGGACGGGGGAAGGUGGAGCCUGCGCCUUCCCGCCUCGCGCCAUUUGCGGCCUUCGCCGGGGUGGAAUCCCUGUCUGCCUGGGCCCGCGCCAGCACGUUUCUGAAGGAUGUGACUUGGGUCUCUUACAACCCGUUUAGUACCUGUGCCCUAAGACGGAGGGGCUGUGUAGUGGCUGCCCCAUGUUUUGCCCUUCCUGAUUGUUUUCCUGAAACCUUGCGUUCUCAGGUCUUUGGAUGCCUUUUACUCGGUUGUUUUCAGGCAUAGCAAGAGGUUGAGGGACGUCGACCGCCUUUUAAACCCGCGGAAGGGCUGUAGCAACUCUUGUCUCCUAGUGCUGGCAGAACGGGGAUCGUAACACUAAUCUCUAAUCUUUGUCUCUCUUGGGUACCUUUACUGUAAUUUGGAUAUGUGGUCAUCAUUAGUGACCAGAAAUUGACUGUCAGGUACAGGCCAAUUACCUGAUUUUGUUUAGCCAGUGAGCUAAGUGGUUUUUUUUAUUUUUUAAUUUAUUUUUAUUUUUAUUUUCGAGAUGGAGUCUUGCUCUGUCACCCAGUCUGGCGUGUAGUGGCACGAUCUUGGCUCACUGCAACCUCCGCCUCCCGGGUUCAAGCAAUUCUCCGGCUUCAGCCUCCUGAGUAGCUGGGAUUACAGGCGCAUGCCACCACCCCCCGGCUAAUUUUUGUAUUUUUAGUAGAGACGGAGUUUCACCAUGUUGGCCAGGCUGGUUCUCGAACUCCUGACUUCGUGAUCCACCCGUCUUGGCCUCCCAAAGAGCUGGGAUUACAGGCGUGAGCCACCGCGCCUGGCUAAGGGUGAUUUUUACAUUUGUAAAUGGAUUUAAAAAAUCAAAAUAACAGUGUUUUGUUACACAUGAAAAUCAAGAAAUUUUAGUGCCCAUAGUUGCAUUAGAACACAGCGCACACAUUCAUUUCUGUAUCGUCUGUGGCUGCUGUUGCCAUACAGAAGCAGACAGAGUUGAGUAAUUGUAAGCGAGACCACGUGGCUGGAAAUCCUAAAAUAUUCAUUAUUUAGCUCUUUAGAGAAAAAAAUUGCCAGUCUCUCACCUCGCUGGUGGAACUCCUUAACAGACCACUGAUGUUCAGUAGGUUAGAUUAAUUGGUUUAUCUUUAUAUUAAUAGGAGUUUCUUCUGCAGCGUUAGACUACCUACAGUUUCUAUAUUUUAUGGAGCACAAUCACAGUUGACAUCUCAUUGCUAUGGUGGAGAAUAAACCCAUAGGCAUUCCUCAAAACCAUGACUCCUUUCUGUGCUUACCUCAUUGACGUAUAGGGCUAGCCUAUCAAUUGUGGACAUUUAGAUUAGCAAUCAGCCAAAAUUAUGGUGAAUUAAUUGGAGUUACUUUUAAUUGCCUGAAAUGUCAGAAUCAAUUUAGCAUAAAACUAUAGGCACAGGAAGCUUAUAGGAUUGGAGCAGCUUUUUUUUUUUUUUUCUGACUUGCAUGCAGAGUUUGUUGUUUGCUGAUUUAGGCAAAAAUCUAAGGUUAGAUGAGGCAUAGCAGUCUGUAUAAUCCUUUUAAGGGGAUGCGUUGUUUGAUAGAUUUCCUUUUGUGACAAGUCGUCUAAUGGCAUUCCAUGACCUGUCCAACUUUGUGUAGAGCACCCUAUUCUGUUGCUGUUCAUAAAAAUCUGAAUCUGUUGUCCCACACAUAGCACCAAUUGAAAAUAAAAAACAGGAGAGGGAGGAUUAAAAUUGGCCUAUACCGCCUCCUCCAAUUGCAGAAACAUCGGUGCUGCCUCCUUCGGUAGUAGAAAUAGAAACCCCAACACAAAGAAUUUUACGCUCUGCUGUCAUAGCUGGAGAGCCCUUAGGACCUUGCGCUUUUCCUGUUUCCAUAAGGCCUGAUCCAAAUAAUCCAUAGUAGGUAAUUCAUGAACACACUCCACAGGAAUUUAAGUUGUUGAAGGAAUUAAAAACUAGUGUGGUCAAUAAUGGAGUACAAAGCCCAUGGUUCCCAGAGGAAGGAAUUCUAGACAUAGAACUCUGGGAACAAGUGGGGAGAAACCUUAAACAACAUCAGGCGCAAAGGCAUCAGGUCCCAGUAAAAUCUUUAAUGUUAUGGGCUUUAAUUUGAGCAGCCCUGGCUCAGUUACACACAGAAGAUCCUAAAAAGAGGAAGGAGAAGAAAACAUCACCUGCCUUAUCACCUCCUCUUCCCUCAGCCCCAAUAUCACUGGGCCAAAAUAACAAAGAGGAAACAGAGGUCUUACCUAAGCCGCCUCCUCCUAUAGAUAGGGAAAAGGACAGAGGAUAUACUACAGCUAUCAGUCCCUGUCCAGGUGCCACUAUGUAACUAGCAUGGACCUAGGGGGACUGAACAAAGAGGGGGAACACAGGAAUGAAAGACGAGAUAAAAAUAUAUUUGGAAGAAGGGGUCGGGGGCACCUUGCCUCUAGUGGACAAGGGGCCUGAGCUUUACACAGCCCUCCGUAUUUAUUAGGCAAAAGAGAUAGCGAGAAGGGGGGCGAUUGUUGGGUAAUAGUCGGCCAUUUGGUUCACAGCAGGCUUGCGAGACUGCAUCCUUUGGACAAUAGGCGCUAGAUUUCUCAAUAGAUAACUUUAAGGAGCCUGGCACCAGGGAGUGAUGUCCUUCAGCAAACCUUUUGGUGGCAGGGCAAUGUGAAUUUGCCCACAUCCUGCAUUCAUGAUAAACAGUUUGCUGUUUGAUCAUAUAGCCUCCGGUGGAAUGCUGAGUUGGUCAUGUCCCAUGGGUCUUCGGCUCCUUGCAACUUUGCUACUUGAAUAAUGGCUAGAUGCAGUAAAACCUGACAGCUUUAUUAUUUUAUUAUUAACUGUUUUUUUGAGCAGGCAUGCACCACCAUGCCUGGCUAAUUUUGCAUUUUCAAUAGAGACGGGGUUUCGCUCUGUUGGCCAGGCUGGUCUCAGACUCCUGACUUCAGGUGGUCCACCCACCUCGGCCUCCCAAAGUGCUGGGAUUGCAGGCAUGAGCUACCGUGCCUGGCUGACACCUUGAUUGAUUGAUUGAUUGAGACAGAGUCUCACUCUGUUGCCCAGACUGGAGUGCAGUGGCGUGAUCUCAGUUUCCAGCUUCAAGCAAUUCUCCUGCCCAAGUCUCCCUAGUAGCUGGGAUUAAAGGUGCGUGCCACCAUGCCUGGCUAAUUUUUGUAUUUUUAGUAGAGAUGGGGUUUUGCCAUGUUGGCCAGGCUGGUCUUGAAAUCCUGACCUCAUUUGAUCUGCCUGCCUCA